UAAAUGAGUACUUUGCCCUCUAACAAGAUAAGUAAAAAUAAGUAACUUACAAGAUUUCAUAAAAGUAGUAUUAGCCAAACACGCAUAUUAGUUUCUCCGUUGCCUUAUUUUUAUCAUAACUUUGGAGGAGAAUUUUGUCAGAAAGUGAACAUUAUUUAGAAAGUUAAGGUUACACCGCUGAUGUUUGCUACAGUCAUCUGACUCUUCCACUUUCAGUUUGAUGCUAUAUCAUAAUGUAUUAAGUCCCUGAAUUUAUGUAUGUCUUCUAAUUAGAACCGCUUCUUGGCUUUGCAUGUUCUGGUUUAAGGUUUCAUUAACUUCUGGUGACCAUUAAUAUGAGAAAAUACUAUAUGAAUGCUAGAUGCUUGUAGUGCCCUAAUGAAUGUAUACUAAAUGCAGUUUCUAUUCAGUUUGAAAUUCAAAAUUAUUUCAGGCAUGUUCAUUUAUAUAUUUCUUAGUAACCCGCUCCUUUUUUAUAAUCAUUGUAGCGUUUUACAUCUGAAAUUUGUGCCUCACAAAUGUUUUGUAUAUACUGAGAGUUAGAGCCAUGUAAUACUGCUUUUUAUUUCAGGUACUGCCCUAGCUGCAAGGAGCAUCGGCAGGCUUGCAAGAAACUAGAUCUCUGGAGGCUGCCGGAGAUUCUUGUUAUUCAUCUAAAACGAUUUUCUUAUAGCCGGUUCCUGAAAAAUAAACUGGAGACAUUUGUAGAUUUUCCCAUUGAUGACUUGGAGUUGUCGGAUUAUAUUGCAUAUAAGACCCAACAACCUUCUCAUCGGUACAGGCUGUAUGCUAUUAGCAACCACUAUGGAAGUAUGGGAGGAGGUCACUACACUGCAUAUGUUCAUCAUGAGGGAGCAAACCGUUGGUAUGACUUUGAUGACCGACAUGUCAAUCCCUUGUCUGAUGAAACUUCCAUAAAGUCAUCAGCUGCGUACGUUCUCUUUUACCAGAGGGUUCAAGCCGAGGAUUCAGAUUCAAGAUCUACUACAUCAACGCGUAAUUCUCCUGAUCAUAUAAUUGAAGCAGACUAGAAGUGACCUUUAUCCUUGAGCUAGAGAGAGAUUCAUUUUUCAACUGCGGGAUUGCGCUGAUCGAGAUUAGAGGCAAGCGGAUAGAAGAUCAGAACAGCAGCUAAUGUUGAACUAACACCGUACCUUGAAGUGUAGGACUAUUCCCCACCAUUUUGUUAAGCCAUUUUACAUGUAAAAAAAAAAGAACUAUGAUUCAAUGGGGGCUUUUGGGCUUCCAAUUGUUGUAAUUUAUUUCCCCAUUUAUUAAUAGGGGGAGGGGGCGCGUUGUCCCUGCUCCAUUGCCCCUUGUAAUUUUUUUUUAACUGAUAAAUAUUAUCAGAAGCCAUGUGUCCCAUUGAUUCCAUGGAAUCUCCUUUUUCUUUA